GUGAGGUAACGGCUCACCAAGGCAUCGACGGGUAGCUGGUCUGAGAGGAUGAUCAGCCACACUGGAACUGAGACACGGUCCAGACUCCUACGGGAGGCAGCAGUGGGGAAUAUUGCACAAUGGGCGCAAGCCUGAUGCAGCGAUGCCGCGUGCGGGAAGAAGGCCCUAGGGUUGUAAACCGCUUUCAGCAGGGAAGAAAAUGACGGUACCUGCAGAAGAAGGUGCGGCCAACUACGUGCCAGCAGCCGCGGUGACACGUAGGCACCAAGCGUUGUCCGGAUUUAUUGGGCGUAAAGAGCUCGUAGGCGGUUCAGUAAGUCGGGUGUGAAAACUCUGGGCUCAACCCAGAGACGCCACCCGAUACUGCUGUGACUUGAGUACGGUAGGGGAGCGGGGAAUUCCUGGUGUAGCGGUGAAAUGCGCAGAUAUCAGGAGGAACACCAGUGGCGAAGGCGCCGCUCUGGGCCGUAACUGACGCUGAGGAGCGAAAGCAUGGGUAGCAAACAGGAUUAGAUACCCUGGUAGUCCAUGCCGUAAACGUUGGGCACUAGGUGUGGGUCUCAACCAACGAGAUCCGCGCCGUCGCUAACGCAUUAAGUG
rnacentral:rRNA from 1 species